rnacentral:rRNA from 1 species
UCAGCAGUCAAGAAUAUUAGUCAAUGCUCGAAAGAGUGAACUAGCUAACUGAAAUCAAUUAAAAAUUGAUAACAUAAGGGAAAAUAAUGAUAUUACCUUAUUAUUAGUGUCGUCCAAAACUGGUGCCAGAAGACUCGGUAAGGCCAGAGACACGAACGUUAAUCGUCUUAAUCAGGCGUAAAGGGUUUGUAGGCGGCUUACAAAUUUAUUUAAAUAAUAUUAAGUAAAGAAUAAAAGCUAGAAUCAAAUAGAGGAUAUAUGAAAGAAUGCUUAGAGUAGGUCUGAUAUCCUUAGAUACUAAGUAGAAUAUUAAAGGCGAAAGCUUUUUUCCAUUAAUGAUUGACGCUCAGAAACGAAGGUGAGGAUAGGAAAUAGGAUUAGAUACCCAGAAUACCCCUCUCUGUCAACGAUGAAUGGUAGUUAUUAGUAAAAAUUAUUAAUGGCAAUGUUAACACGAUAACCAUUCCGCCUUGUGAGUACAACUGCAAAGUUGAAAACAAAAAAAUUAGUCGGUUUCGGAGCAAACGAAGUGAAGCAUGUUAUUUAAUUCAAUAAUCCGCAA